rnacentral:rRNA from 1 species
AAAAACAUGGCUCCUUGUUUAUAGUAUAUAAGGAGUCGGACCUGCCCAGUGAAAUUUUUUAACGGCCGCGGUACUCUGACCGUGCAAAGGUAGCAUAAUCAUUUGCCUUAUAAUUGAAGGCUAGUAUGAAUGGUUUGACAAGAAUGUAGCUGUCUCUUUAUAAUUAAACAGAAUUUUAUUUAUAGGUGAAGAAGCCUAUAUCAAAUUAAAAGACAAGAAGACCCUAUCGAGCUUAAAAUAAAUUAGUAGACUAAGUAAUUAAUGAUAUCAGAAAAUUAACUAUUAGAAAUUUUAGUUGGGGCGACUGGGGAACAAAAAAAGCUUCCUUUAAAAAAUGAAAAACUAAACAAGUAUUGAUCCAAAACAUUUUGAUUAAAGAAAUUAGUUACCGUAGGGAUAACAGCAUUAUCUUUUUUAAGAGCUCUUAUCGAAAAAAAGGUUUGUGACCUCGAUGUUGGACCAGAAUAUCCUAAAGAUGCAACAGUCUUUAAGGGUUGGUUUGUUCGACCAUUAAAAUUCUACGUGAUCUGAGUUC